GACAUAGGUGGCAAACGUUAUCCGGAAUUAUUGGGCGUAAAGAGUGCGUAGGUGGUGAGGUAAGUCUGAUGUGAAAUCUCCGAGCUUAACUCGGAAAUGGCAUUGGAAACUACCUUGCUAGAGGGUUGGAGGGGGGACUGGAAUACUUGGUGUAGCAGUGAAAUGCGUAGAUAUCAAGUGGAACACCAGUGGCGAAGGCGAGUCCCUGGACAACUCCUGACACUGAGGCACGAAAGCUAGGGGAGCAAACAGG
rnacentral:rRNA from 1 species